UUGUUUUUUAUUAUUCAUUUAUAUAUUUAUUUUUUUAUAGAUAUAUAAUUAUAUUUUAUUGUUCAUAAUUACUUUAUUAUAAACAAUUUCAUAUAUUCUUAUAAUUCAUUAUAAUUAUAUUAUAUUUUGCUGCUUCAGCAAUUUUUCUUUUAAUAUAUAUAUAUAUGAUGUUUCUUUUUAAUCAUUAGUGUUCACUUAAAAUUCAGUUUUUAUAUUUCGAUUAUAUCGAUUAUAUUCUUUUUUUCUUAUUUUAUAAUAUGGAUAGAUAUGUCAGGUGAUCAUAUUAUAUUAUUAUUAAUUUUUUUUUGCUGAACAAAAUAAACUUCAAUUUAUUUAAAUAAUAAUUUUUCAUAAUUCAUUAAUCAAUAAUUUAUAAAAUUAUUAUUGUUAUAAUUGUUAUAUGUUGUUCUGGUUAUAUUGUUCUAUUAUAUAUAAGUAUUUUAUUUAAUUUUUUAUAAGGUACUACACAUGGUAUAAUAUAUCAAUCAUUUUGUUACUUCUUGUUGGUUAUUUCUGUAUAUGAAUUGCUCUAAAAUAUUGUUCUUUUCCAAUGUUAGAAUAAAUAUUUUUCUAUUUUCUUAUUUAUUAUGUCUUUUUUUUUUUUUUUUUUCUUUUGUAUGUUCUAAUGAAACAUGUAUUUUAUAAAAAUAAUUAAGAUACUCAUAUUACGAUUUAUUAAUUAAAAAAUAUAUUUUAUAAUUUUAUUUUAAUAAUUUUAUGAAUUAUAAUUACAAAAUAUUUCGCGUUUCCUAAAUAUUAAAAACAUAUUUGGAAUAGAUACAUGGUUUAUAUAUGGUCAAAUGUGAUUUAUAAGAGCGUGAUAUACAAUUCUCUUAAAUAAAGUCUUAUUUCUAUAAACCAUACUUGUAUAUAUAUGUGUUUAAACACGUCUUAUCAUAUGUAAGACAAUUUUAUUUCUUCCACAAUUGGAAUAAUAUUUCUUUUAUUCUUGAUGAUGUAUAUGUUUUCUUUUUUUUUUGUUUUUAUUUUAAAAAUAUCACCGUAACAUAUUUUGCGUACUAUAAGCUAUAAUUUUUUAUUUAUAUAAUUAUUCUGUCUUUACAAAAAAUUAAAUAAUAAUAAUAAAAAAAAAAAAAAAACACCAUUUGUAUAUAAAAUAAAUUAUAUAAUCUAAUUAAAUCAUAAUAUAAC